CAGUAGCCGCGGUAAUACGUAGGGUGCGAGCGUUAAUCGGAAUUACUGGGCGUAAAGCGUGCGCAGGCGGUUGUGUAAGACAGGUGUGAAAUCCCCGGGCUUAACCUGGGAACUGCGCUUGUGACUGCACAGCUAGAGUAUGGCAGAGGGGGGUGGAAUUCCACGUGUAGCAGUGAAAUGCGUAGAGAUGUGGAGGAACACCGAUGGCGAAGGCAGCCCCCUGGGCCAAUACUGACGCUCAUGCACGAAAGCGUGGGGAGCGAACAGGAUUAGAUACCCCGGUAGUCCCUGUCUCUUAUAC
rnacentral:rRNA from 1 species